rnacentral:sRNA from 1 species
ACCGGCACUAGCGGGGCCAGCACCCCGGCCA